rnacentral:rRNA from 1 species
AGUGAACGCUGGCGGUAGGCCUAACACAUGCAAGUCGAACGGCAGCACAGUAAGAGCUUGCUCUUACGGGUGGCGAGUGGCGGACGGGUGAGGAAUACAUCGGAAUCUACUUUUUCGUGGGGGAUAACGUAGGGAAACUUACGCUAAUACCGCAUCCGACCUACGGGUGAAAGCAGGGGAUCUUCGGACCUUGCGCGAUUGAAUGAGCCGAUGUCGGAUUAGCUAGUUGGCGGGGUAAAGGCCCACCAAGGCGACGAUCCGUAGCUGGUCUGAGAGGAUGAUCAGCCACACUGGAACUGGAACACGGUCCAGAGUCCUACGGGAGGCAGCAGUGGGGAAUAUUGGACAAUGGGCGCAAGCCUGAUCCAGCCAUACCGCGUGGGUGAAGAAGGCCUUCGGGUUGUAAAGCCCUUUUGUUGGGAAAGAAAAGCAGCAGGUUAAUACCCCGCUGUUCUGACGGUACCCAAAGAAUAAGCACCGGCUAACUUCGUG